rnacentral:rRNA from 1 species
GACGAACGCUGGCGGCGUGCUUAACACAUGCAAGUCGAACGAUGAAGCCGGAGCUUGCUCUGGUGAAUUAGUGGCGAACGGGUGAGUAACACGUGAGUAACCUGCCCUUGACUCUGGGAUAACUGCUAGAAAUGGUAGCUAAUACCGGAUACGACCCUCGGAGGCAUCCCCAGGGGGUGGAAAGAAUUUCGGUCAAGGAUGGACUCGCGGCCUAUCAGCUAGUUGGGGAGGUAACGGCUCACCAAGGGGACGGCGGGUAGCCGGCCUGAGAGGGUGACCGGCCACACUGGGACUGAGACACGGCCCAGACUCCGACGGGAGGCAGCAGUGGGGAAUAUUGCACAAUGGGCGCAAGCCUGAUGCAGCAACGCCGCGUGAGGGAUGACGGCCUUCGGGUUGUAAACCUCUUUUAGUAGGGAAGAAGCGAAAGUGACGGUACCUGCAGAAAAGGCACCGGCUAACUACGUGCCAGCCGCCGCCGUAA